AUAUUACAUCUGUGAAAUGAAAGAGAAAGCACAGCUCACUUAAAGUAUUUGUAGCGUUUGAGUCCCUUGUGUUUUCAGUCUACACCUGUACAGUGCAACAGCUUGUUCUCCCUCCACCAGGCAGACGUUUUUAUGUCAACAGUGAUGGCAGCAGCAGGCGUCUCCAAAAGCAGAUCACUGACUGGUGUCAGAAACACCAAAGUUGUAAUCAUCUUCUUGCUGCUGUCCCUGGUUUAUGAGGCAAAUUCACAGACAACUGAGGAAUAUUUGAAUAAAAUCAAGGCCACCUUAGGAGAAGCUGAUGAAAAACUACAGUUUCUUCAGUCUAUCCAGGAACUAAUAAAGACAUCAUCAUUUUCAGAGGAUUUUCCACCACUGAUGGAUUUCACAAAUAACUUGAUUCACUUCAUUGAGAAAUCCAAGAUGCUGUUAGAAAGAAAGGAAAAAGAAUUUGAAAGAAAUGAAGGACAACCUAAAACUCAACGGAAUGAACUUUAAACGUUUCUGUCUAACUUCUUUAAAAUAAAUACAUUUUAAGCAGAGCAUUUAGCUAUGCUUUAGACUUUAGCAUCAUUGUUUUUUGUUGUUGGAUGGGACAUGUAUUUGUUUUGCUUUUACCUUUCCUGAACUGUGAUUUGUUUUCUUUGCUGAAACUCUGCAACAUUAUGUUUUGUCAACUUACGUUGUUUUUUUAAACACAGAGGUGCUGUCAGCAAUACUGGCAUGACAUGUUGACAGUAAAAGACAAAUAUCAUUCCCAUGUUUUGCAAACAGAUUUUGCAUUUUUGUCUUUGCAUUGGAUUCUAGUGAUGUCUUCUUAUGUGUAUUAGUUAUACAAGUGUCUGUAUUGGUAAUGUACCAUCCAUGAACCAAUAAAUUCCUGCAUACAAA